rfam:Bacillus methanolicus MGA3, complete genome.
CCAAAGGCUUUUUUGGAAGCCGUCCUUUUUCAAAAAUUAAUAAAAU